rnacentral:rRNA from 1 species
UACGGAGGGGGCUAGCGUUGUUCGGAAUUACUGGGCGUAAAGCGCACGUAGGCGGCUUUGUAAGUUAGAGGUGAAAGCCCGGGGCUCAACUCCGGAAUUGCCUUUAAGACUGCAUCGCUAGAAUUGUGGAGAGGUAAGUGGAAUUCCGAGUGUAGAGGUGAAAUUCGUAGAGAUCAGGAGGAACACCCAUGGCGAAGGCAGCUCUCUGGUCGACCUCUGACGCUGAGACGCGAAAGCGUGGGGAGCGAACGGG